rnacentral:rRNA from 1 species
GACGAACCGGACAACCGUUAUUCGGAAUUACUGGGCUUAAAGGGUUUGUAGGCGGCCUUGUAAGUCAGGUGUGAAAUCCCUCGGCUCAACCGAGGAAUGGCGCUUGAUACUGCAAGGCUUGAGGGAGACAGGGGUAAGCGGAACUGAUGGUGGAGCGGUGAAAUGCGUUGAUAUCAUCAGGAACACCGGUGGCGAAAGCGGCUUACUGGGUCUCUUCUGACGCUGAGGAACGAAAGCUAGGGGAGCGAACGGG